rnacentral:SRP_RNA from 1 species
CCGUGCUAAGCGGGGAGGUAGCGGUGCCCUGUACCCGCAAUCCGCUAUAGCGGGGCUGAAUUCCCUCCCGAGGUCGCAUCGCUUUGGGGUCCGGAGCCUGCAAGUGGCGUUGAGGGCCGGGUCUUGUGCAACGGGACCUCGUGAACCCCGUCAGGUCCGGAAGGAAGCAGCGGUAAGCGAGAGCUCUCGUGUGCCGCGAGGGUGCCUGGCCUGAGCUAACUGCAGGAGUGCCGCUCGGGGCGGUCGAUCGACGGCGGGUGCACGG